GCUGAGGUGAAAGGAGCUGGAGGAGAGACAGCAUUGCUGAAUCCUGAGAUCUUUCAGGUCCUGCUCCAUGGAUGGUUUCCCAUCAAGCUGUUUUUCAACUACAUGCUCUACAAGCUUCACUCACCCCUUUUUGGGGUCUGCUGCCUCCCCUAUCCUUAAGGAACUUAUUUUUUCCCAGGAAUUUAUCGAUGUUUAUUACUACAACAACAAAGAGGCCCCACCUCCAGCAGCGUUCCAGAAUUGACCUGUCUCGACUUCUGUAUGCUUAUGAGAUCUGUGAAGUCUUUGUUCUGUCUCUCUUUAAUUCUGUCUCAAUAUGACUGAAGCUACAUUUUUAAAGUGAGCUGCUUAGUGUGAUUUGUUACCCCCUGACUUUUCCUUUGAACUGUAGAAAUCUCCGGAUAGCAACACUAUCUGUCAGUAUAGCUUAUUCUUCAUACUGCAAACUGGUGAGCUUUGAUCUUUCAUUUUCAAGCAGCCAGCUCAGUCAGUUUGAUGCAUACCUAUUAUUCAUGUUUCCCAACAAUUCAUGUGUUCAAAGAAAGCCUUUCACACUAGGGUUAAUUUUGACAUGUAGUGGGGCAGGUUAUACUCUUGGUUACUCUGCAUGCAGGCUGGUGUUAUUCAGUGAGUCAGCAGGAUGCUAGUGGUGUGCAGAAUUUGACCCACUAUAUUCACUCUUCAUGUCAUUUACAUGAUUUCCAGUUCUAUGCCAGUUUUCCUAAUUGACAGAUUCAUGCCUUAUCCUUACAGCCCUUUGCAGUGAUGUCACAAUGGUGAAUUGGUGACAUAACUGUUAUUUCCAAAGUGAUUAUGGCUGCAUGGCAGGAUCAAGCAGAAGCUGAGAAGGAGAAAGAAUUACUGAUUAUAGUUAUUAUUCAUUUUGUGCUGACUGCGUUUUCCAUGUAAGGUGACUUGGUACAAAUAUAAUGUACACAAGAGCAGGGGAAAGACUAAUAAACUGACACUUUGUACAAACAUUACA